UACGGAGGGUGCAAACGUUGCUCGGAAUCAUUGGGCGUAAAGCGCACGUAGGCGGUCGGCUAUGUCGGAUGUGAAAGCCUCGGGCUUAACCCGAGAAGGGCAUCCGAAACUGGCUGGCUUGAGUAUGGAAGAGGGUCUCGGAAUUCCCGGUGUAGAGGUGAAAUUCGUAGAUAUCGGGAGGAACACCAGUGGCGAAGGCGGAGACCUGGGCUAAUACUGACGCUGAGGUGCGAAAGCGUGGGGAGCAAACAGG
rnacentral:rRNA from 1 species